rnacentral:lncRNA from 1 species
AUGUCACCCAGCAAUGCAGAGCAAAAGGAGCCCACUUCUCUGAUCCAUCCCAGGUAUGGCGUGCAUGUCCCUGCAAGGACAGCAAAGGUCACACCAGUAGCCUGGGGACACCCAGGGAGCCUUUGUGCUGAAGAUGGCCCUGAGAGAGGAGACACAGUGGCUUCAUGGCUCCUCCAGGCCAGUAAUCCUGCAUACAUGAACGCCUGUGCGAGUAGAAGCAGGUUUCCCGGCAGAAACAUCAAUCACAGAACUGGAAGAGAGUGGCAAAAGGACAAAAGAGGCGGUAUCAUUUUCCCUUGUUUUGCUGCUACUCUUCUUUCUUUCACCUCGCUCCUCUCAGCUGCAGUGCUGCCCAUCUGUGGUGACAUGGACCCAGCCAGGGAAUACUUUCCACAGCCCCAAAAAGCUUGGCAGGAGAAGAAAUCAGCAGCUAAGCACCAAGGAGCAGCAGCAAUGAGGCAGAUGCAUGCUGCCACCAGAAGACAGCCCAGAGCCACCCCACAUCACAGCGAGCUGGGAGCUCCCAGCACUUGGGGUGGAGGUGAACACAGGAGGUGAAGGACAGGAGACAACCUGGGCUCCUUCACAACCAUCUCCACAUCUCCAACGUUCACCCUCAGCCACGUUCCCAUCCAAAUUCAUCAUUCCUUACUGCAAAUGCCACUUGUUACACAGCUAAACUGUGCUACAGUGCUGAAGGUUCAAACGCUACCAACCAUGCCUUGUAAGAAUGACACAACUGCCUAUUUUCUACAACUCCCAUUAUAAACUAUAGGAAAUAAAAUCCUCAUUGAAAGCA